rnacentral:lncRNA from 1 species
GGCUCCAAUCCCACUUUCUACUCUGCCUCAUUUUCUUCUAUCCACGUGGUGCUGUGUAUGCAUGGGUGGAAGGAGUAUUAAUUAGACUAUGCUUAUAGACUGUCCAGCCCCAAAUUCAUAACUUUUACCCCCUAAAGCAUUGAUCUACCCAGUCCCCUGAGGGAGAGAAGCUGACUUCAUCAUCCCCUUUUCUCAGCCAUGGCCUUUGUUUUGUUUUUGUUUUUGUUUUUU